UUUCGACGUAGGUAUGAGACGGGGUUGAGUGACGAAAAUGUGUUCGCAUAAUUUUUGCACCCCCUGUUUUAUAUAACCGACGACGAACGCGUGCACUUUUCUCCUGGUAGGACGUCGCAAUCCGUUGGGUGUCGGUCUACGGUUCGCGGUGGAGCCCGUUCUGACAAAUCCAUUGAUGAGCGGACCCGUGUUAUUCCUGACCGACUCGCUCGACGGUAUACAAAUGGUAUAUGGCCGCUCAAUUUGAAGCUUUCGACUCGUGGCAAGCGCGCUCGAUGCGUCGGCGGUCGGACCUAGUGCCGAUCCUGACCUCUGGUGACUGUUGGCCACGAUGUUCUCGAAAAGAGCCGAUUACCGAUUUGCGACGCUAUAGCUUUGGGUACUUUCAGGACCCGUCUUGAAACACGGACCAAGGAGUCUAGCAUGUACGCAAGUCAUUGGGAAUCACUAAACCUAAAGGCGCAAUGAAAGUAAAGGUCUUCCUUGUGAGGACCUAGGGAAGAUGUGCGGUUAACGGUUAAAAGUUGCCGUGCCGCAUUCCCGGGGCGUCUCAUUCUCA
rnacentral:rRNA from 1 species